rnacentral:lncRNA from 10 species
AUGCUUUAACCUACACAUCCCCUCCCACUGCUUGGACCCAAAGGCUUCCUCUGCAAGUGAGGGCCUCAAAGGAGACCUGGAACCUUUAUUCUUGUCCUGACUUUCUGUUUUAGAAUCAGGACCUUUUCAAAACCCCAGGAGCAGACAGAGGGGGUGUGGCAUGGACUCUAUGUGAGGGUCUCUCGCAUGCCAAGGCUGCAAUCUAUCCAUUCUCCAGCGAGGUUGUUUGUUUCGGAGCUAGUAGCUGCAGGAACUAUUGGGGAGCAACAUCAUUUAGCAGCAAAGAUAUUCUUUCUCAGCAAAUUGCUUGAAGCCAAGGGGAAGAAGCUUCCAGGUUGGUGAUGCUAAGCGCAAGAGUGGAAGGGGAAGGAAGCCCUAACCUGGGGUUAUUUUCUUUAAUCUUAUAGGAGCCAGCCACCCGUACACAGGCUGCUCUAUAUAUUACAGCAUACAUUUUUUCUGUUCCUAAUCAGGUUUGUGUAUCUUCCUGGAUUGAUUUUCUUUCACAAAACUCUUAAUAUUUUUCCAGAUGCCUCCUCUCCUACCUUUUGUCCUUCCCAACUGCCAUUCACUAAAGAAAGACUCUUUGGAAAAUGUUGGCCUGGAAGCAUGUCUAUUCCUAUUCUAGUUUCUGGAUCCUGUCAACAAUUUUUACUUGUAUGAUUGUCUCAUUAUUUUUAUUAUUUUAAUUGAAGUGGUGGCAUUAUGCAAUUUGGUGAAGAACUCUCCAAAUCCACUUGGUUCUGGUCUCCAUAAUUCAAAACAAGUUAUUUGAUGGGUGUGUGACUUUUAAGAUUAACGUUAAGAUUGUUUGUUUAAUUUGUGGGAUUGAUUUGGUAGAUGUUUUCGUGUUGAAAGAAGGCUGAUUGGUUUUGGUUGGGAAAUGGAAUUCUAUUGCGUUCCCAGAGAGUCUGCCAUCCAGAGCUGGGCAGCUUCCUGGAAACUGUCUGCCCCAAGCAAAAGAAAGUGCUGUGUUGGCUGCCUGUUGUCUGAAGUGCAGAGUCCGGGGGACUCUGGGAGCUGCUACCAGAUACUUGCCCCCACAGUGCCUUUGAAACACUCUGCAAGGCAAGAUGACCCUGGGGGAGGAGCGGUCCCCACCUGAACCCACAGGUUGGAGGCUUCUUCAGGGAGAGGUUGACAUGCACCUUUUUAAUGCAUACACAUUAAAACACAGGUUGAGUGAUGUGUGGAUGCAGGGAAGGCCUUCCUAGGGAAUGACUUCAGAUGGCUUAAUAUGAUUCUCUUAGCCUGGCUGCUACUUCAGUUGCUGGCUCCUAAUGGGGUCCCCCUUCUUCACACAGGCGCAACUGACAUUAUCUCUAACCUCCGCCCCAACGAUUCCCUGUUUAUCCCAAAUUGUGGAAAGCCUUAGAACUUAAUCGGCACCCACAUUUGCACAUCCCAGAAGAGUGGGAGCCUUAAUGUCCUAUGGGGCAAGACUUUGAACACUUAUUUCAAGUUAUUUCUUCCACGUCUGUGGUCCUCCCCGCUCCCUGCUGAUGGAUGAUCUUGAGAAACGCCGUUAAGUGGUUUCUCAGAUGACAGUCUUGCGAGAUUAAGCGAUCGGUUGUGCUCCAAGUUGACCAGCUGGAAAAUGCCCUCUCAUGUGGACUUCACCUCCUUCCUCACCUCAAUUCCCUUUGCUCUCGCUUCUGCUUCCUAGGUUCGUACCCUCUGGCACUUUGGCAGCACGUGAGCUAUGUGGGUGCUCUGGGGAUGACCAAAGACUGGAUGCCAAAUGGUAUCAGAAUGACUGGGCUUGGCAGUUCCUCAUCAGUUAUUCUGCUGGAGCUUUCAGGGACUAUUAGAGGCUGAAUGACUCCAUGCCCAGCAGCUAUGCCAAGAUAUUUCAAACCCAAAGCCUGCCUGGAUCAAACACGUGACUUUGUCUCCAUGGUAUGUCAGAUGGCAGGUGGGCCAAGCCUGAAGAGGCCAAGACCUCCUCCUGCUCCAGCUGAACACAUCUGCUCUCCACCUUGGAAGCCCCAUUCUCAUGGCUGCAGUCUUUGAACUCUGAUGAGGUGUGCGAAACACCCCA